UGGGGAAUCUUGCACAAUGGGCGAAAGCCUGAUGCAGCAACGCCGCGUGCGGGAAGACAGCCCUAGGGUUGUAAACCGCUUUCAGCAGGGAAGAAACUGACGGUACCUGCAGAAGAAGAUGCGGCCAACUACGUGCCAGCAGCCGCGGUGACACGUAGGCAUCAAGCGUUAUCCGGAUUUAUUGGGCGUAAAGAGCUCGUAGGCGGUUCGGUAAGUCGGGUGUGAAAUCCAAGGCUCAACCUUGGGACGCCACCCGAUACUGCUGUGACUCGAGUGCAGUAGGGGAGCAGGGAAUUCCUGGUGUAGCGGUGAAAUGCGCAGAUAUCAGGAGGAACACCAGUGGCGAAGGCGCUGCUCUGGGCUGUAACUGACGCUGAGGAGCGAAAGCAUGGGUAGCAAACAGGAUUAGAUACCCUGGUAGUCCAUGCCGUAAACGUUGGGCACUAGGUGUGGGUCUCAACCAACGAGAUCCGCGCCGUCGCUAACGCAUUAAGUGCCCGCCUGGGAGUACGGUCGCAAGACUAAAACU
rnacentral:rRNA from 1 species